rnacentral:RNase_P_RNA from 1 species
GGAGUGGGUCGGACGGCCGCUGAUCCUUCGGGAUUGGAGGAAAGUCCGGGCUCCACAGGGCAGGACGCCGGGUAAUCCCCGGCGGGGGUGACCCCAGGGAAAGCGCCACAGAAAGCAAACCGCCAGCCGGGAUUCCACGCAGUCGGGAAUCCUCGCCAGGCAAGGGUGAAAGGGUGCGGUAAGAGCGCACCGCGUUUCCCGGUAACGGGAGCGGCACGGCAAGCCCCGUCCGGAGCAAGACCACAUAGGGGGGCGUUUAAAGAUGGCCCGUCCAGCCCCCGGGUCGGUCGCUAGAGAUGGUCGGCAACGCCCGUCCCAGAUGAAUGGCCGUCCCCCUCGCCCCCCACCGGGACAAGGGACCAGGGGACAAAACCCGGCUUACAGACCCACUCCGGUC